rnacentral:rRNA from 1 species
GUAGGAGCCAAGCGUUAUCCGAAUUCACUGGGCGUAAAGCGCGUGCAGGCGGCUGGGUAAGUUGGAUGUGAAAUCUUCUGGCUCAACUGGGAGAGGCCGUUCAAUACUACCUGGCUCGAGGGCGACAGAGGGAGGUGGAAUUCCGGGUGUAGUGGUGAAAUGCGUAGAUAUCCGGAGGAACACCAGAGGCGAAGGCGACCUCCUGGGUCGUACCUGACGCUCAGACGCGAAAGCUAGGGGAGCGAACGGGAUUAGAAACCCCGGUAGUCCUAGCCGUAAACGAUGUAGACUGGGUGUCGGCGGGGUAAAAGCCGUCGGUGCCGAAGCCAACGCGAUAAGUCUACCGCCUGGGGACUACGGCCGCAAGGUUAAA